rnacentral:rRNA from 1 species
CCUACGGGUGGCUGCAGUGGGGAAUAUUGCACAAUGGGCGCAAGCCUGAUGCAGCCAUGCCGCGUGUGUGAAGAAGGCCUUCGGGUUGUAAAGCACUUUCAGCGGGGAGGAAGGCGGUGAGGUUAAUAACCUCAUCGAUUGACGUUACCCGCAGAAGAAGCACCGGCUAACUCCGUGCCAGCAGCCGCGGUAAUACGGAGGGUGCAAGCGUUAAUCGGAAUUACUGGGCGUAAAGCGCACGCAGGCGGUCUGUCAAGUCGGAUGUGAAAUCCCCGGGCUCAACCUGGGAACUGCGUUCGAAACUGGCAGGCUAGAGUCUUGUAGAGGGGGGUAGAAUUCCAGGUGUAGCGGUGAAAUGCGUAGAGAUCUGGAGGAAUACCGGUGGCGAAGGCGGCCCCCUGGACAAAGACUGACGCUCAGGUGCGAAAGCGUGGGGAGCAAACAGGAUUAGAUACCCGGGUAGUC